rnacentral:tRNA from 1 species
AGCUGGAUAGAGUACUCGGCUACGAACCGAGCGGUCGGAGGUUCGAAUCCCCCGGAUGCACCA